UACGGGGGGGCAAGCGUUGUUCGGAAUUACUGGGCGUAAAGGGCCAGUAGGCGGCCAACUAAGUCCGACGUGAAAUCCCCAGGCUUAACCUGGGAACUGCGUCGGAUACUGGAUGGCUUGAAUUCGGGAGAGGGAUGCAGAAUUCCAGGUGUAGCGGUGAAAUGCGUAGAUAUCUGGAGGAAUACCGGUGGCGAAGGCGGGUCUCUGGGCCGAUACUGACGCUGAGGAGCGAAAGCGUGGGAGCGAACAGG
rnacentral:rRNA from 1 species